rnacentral:hammerhead_ribozyme from 1 species
AUCCAACUGAAGAGUCCUAAACCGGACGAAGUAGACAACCUGGAU